GCGCCAUGUUUCCAUACGGAAAGACGGAACGCGCGCCGCAUCCCAGCCGCUGGUGCGGGUGACGCGAGGAGAAAGGGAGGCGGAGAAGGCGCGGGUCAGUCAAAAGAAGGAAUAAGAAGCCAUUGCAUCUGAAACCUUCCCCGCCCGUUCUUUGAAAUUUAAUUUUGCCAUCCUGUUUGUAGCUACACAAAGUUUAUUCCCCUUCUCUCAUUUCCUCAGCUUUAAAAAAAAGUUAGUCCGGGCGCAGCAGCUCACGCCUGUAAUCCCAGCACUUUGAGAGGCCGAGGCGGGCGGAUCACGAGGUCAAGAGAUCGAGACCAUCCUGGCCAACAUGGUGAAACCUCGUCUUUACUAAAAAUACGAAAAUUAGCUGGGUGUGGUGGCGCGCGCCUGUAGUCCCAGCUACUCGGGAGGCUGAGGCAGGAGAAUCGCUUGAAUCUGGGAGGCGGAGGUUGCAGUGAGGCGAGAUCGCGCCACUGCACUGCGGCCUGGAGACAGACCGAGACUCUGUCUCAAAAACAAACAAACAAAAAAAAACUACAAAAAAGCAGAUGGGGUGACAUUGGUGCUUUCAAACACUGCUUCUAAAUAGAUCACAUGUGGGUAGUUAUUGCUAACGUAUUGAAGGCCGAGUGCAAUACCAGACCCUCAAACCAUUUACUAACUUGCACAUUAAAGUCUUUGCUUUAAAAAAAAAAAAAAAAAGACAAAAACAGAAGUUCUCUGGUGAAGAUUCACUUUUUGGAGGAAAAAACACCAAAAACCCUUAAGAUACUCAACUAAAUGGAACUGUUAAGAUCUACAAAGAAUGGCUGGGCGCGGUGGCUCACACCUGUAAUCCUAGCUCUUUGGGAGGUCGGAGGUGGGUGGAUCACAAGGUCAGGAGUUCGAGACCAGCCUGGCCAAUAUGGUGAAACCUCGUUUCUACUAAAAAUACAAAAAAAUUAGCCGGGCAUGGUGGCAUAUGCCUGUAAUCCCAGCUACUUGGGAGGCUGAGGCAGGA
rnacentral:lncRNA from 10 species